GUGAGGAAUAUUGGUCAAUGGUCGAGAGACUGAACCAGCCAAGUCGCGUGAAGGAAGAAGGAUCUAUGGUUUGUAAACUUCUUUUGCAGGGGGGUAAAGUGAGUGACGAGUCAUUCAUUGCAAGUACCCUGCGAAUAAGCAUCGGCUAACUCCGUGCCAGCAGCCGCGGUAAUACGGAGGAUGCGAGCGUUAUCCGGAUUUAUUGGGUUUAAAGGGUGCGUAGGUGGAGAGAUAAGUCAGUGGUGAAAUCCUGAUGCUUAACGUUAGGAUUGCCGUUGAAACUGUUUUGCUAGAGUGUGAUUGAGGCAGGCGGAAUUUGUGGUGUAGCGGUGAAAUGCAUAGAUAUCACGCAGAACUCCGAUUGCGAAGGCAGCUGGCCAAGCAACAACUGACACUGAAGCACGAAAGCGUGGGGAUCAAACAGGAUUAGAAACCCGAGUAGUCC
rnacentral:rRNA from 1 species